UACGGGGGGGGCAAGCGUUGUUCGGAAUUACUGGGCGUAAAGGGCUCGUAGGCGGCCAACUAAGUCAGACGUGAAAUCCCUCGGCUUAACCGGGGAACUGCGUCUGAUACUGGAUGGCUUGAGUUUGGGAGAGGGAUGCGGAAUUCCAGGUGUAGCGGUGAAAUGCGUAGAUAUCUGGAGGAACACCGGUGGCGAAGGCGGCAUCCUGGACCAUGACUGACGCUGAGGAGCGAAAGCCAGGGGAGCAAACGGG
rnacentral:rRNA from 1 species